rnacentral:rRNA from 1 species
AUUGAACGCUGGCGGCAGGCCUAACACAUGCAAGUCGAACGAGUUGCGGACUUUUGAGUAAUUUCUUGGAAACUUCCUGCUGUACGCGUAUAACUACUGGAAACCGUAGCUACUUCCGCUUACCAUCGUUUGUGCCCUCAUGGGAUUAGCGAGUAGGUGGGGUAACGGCUCACCUAGGCGACGAUCCCUAGCGGGUCUGAGAGGCUGACCGGCGACCCUGGAACUGUGACACGGUCCAGACUCCUCCGGGAGGCAGCAGUGGGGAAUCUUGCGCAAUGGGCGCAAGUCUGACGCAGCCAUGCCGCGUGUAUGAAGAAGGCCUUCGGGUUGUAAAGUUCUUUCAGCGAGGAGGCGGUAUACGAAGAAGAAGCAACGGCUAACUCCGUGCCAGCCGCCGCGGUAAUAG